CCGCCCAAUGCGCCGCCCACACCUGCUUCGGUGGUGCCUCCGGCAGAAGCGAAGCCACUGACCAGGCCAAGGGACAACAAGAGAAUCGAGGAGAACUUCAUAGAGGAGCCUCAAAGGGAUGACGGCGCGAUCCUGAGGCUCUGGAAUGGGCGUGACAAUCGAAAUCCGACGAAUAACACGACUUGUAUACAAUUCUGCAAGUUACUGAUUUUUGGGCGGAACUUAACGGUUUUUCGCCGGUCUUUAGCUACUUCGGACAGGCCGCUUUGAUUACAAGGCGGCCUUUUUUGUGGGCGCUUGGAAAGUGUUCGCGCAGGAAAAAAUCAUUGAUUCGGCUGCCGCUUUCGCGAGCAAGCUCGCU
rnacentral:sRNA from 1 species